GUUUUAUCACUCUCUGCUGCUGGGGGUAAAGAUGUUAAAGAUGUUGUGAAGAAUAUUAUGGAAAGUGUGGCUACGUAUGAUGUGUUGGCCAAGUUUAAUUUUCGGGGAACUAAUCGCCUCGAAAAAAAUAAAGAGCUAAGACCAAGUAAAGAAGCUUUUAAAAGUCUUAAUAUAUGCAAAGUUGUGUGCUGUGCAGCAAUGAAAGAUAGAAAGUUUUUUAAAGAAGACGUGAUAAAGUGUGUAAAAGAAAUUUUACGUUAUGCUCCAGACAAGGCCACAGGUGGAAGGCGGUUUUCUGUAUAAAACUUUAAAAUUAUAA
rnacentral:lncRNA from 1 species